UUUCUCCACACCCUCUACAGCAUUUAUUAUGUGUAGACUUUUUGAUGAUGGCCAUUCUGACUGGCGUGAGGUGAUAUUUUAUUGUAGUUUUGAUUUGCAUUUGUUUAAUCAUUAGCAAUGUUGAGGAUUUUUUGAUAUCAUGACAUAACAUAUUUUUUUAAGAUAAUAGAUUUAAUAGGGAGCUCUUAUUCAUCCCACUAAUAUAAGGAAGUUAAUUUAAUUUCCCUGUGGAUUAGAGGGCCCCUGAGGAUUAUUUGGUACUGAUGUGUCACAUUAUGUUUGUCAACAGAAGAAUCAGAACAGCUUGGUGUACUGUAGGAACCAAACGAGCUAAAAAGGAUCAAGUUCUCAACUAAGCAUCUAAUGUUAAUGUAUUAUAUUAAUGUCCUGGGCAAACCUCCUUCAGCCCUUAGGUUUCCUCACCAGUAAAAUGGGAGUGUUACAAGGGUCUCUCCAGUUCCACUCCCUCCCGAUUCUCAUCUGUGAUCUUUCUUCCUGCAGAAAGACAACACAACACCAGAGAAGUGUGUUCUUUGCCUACUGGCAGAGAAGGGGAUUCUGCUAGAGCAGCUGGGGGGGGGGGGGCAAUUGAAAGCAUGUUUUAAAUAUUUCCUUGGUUAAAAGCAUUAAGUUUGAUAAAGACUCUCUCUCUCACUAACCUCUAGAUUUACAUCUGAUAAUACUGGGUAGUGUGAACAAAAAUACUGCAACCAUAUCAGUAAACAAAAAAUGCUGAAACCAAGUCAUCAGCGGUUGCCGCCACCCCCAAGUAAGGACAGGCCUGCAGUCCAGCCUCUGCAGCCACUCACAAAGGUGCACUCUGAGCGGACUCAGAAUAAGAAAGGACAGGAUACUGGCCCUAGAUAGCUAGGUGCUUGUCAA